rnacentral:rRNA from 1 species
AGAGUUUGAUCCUGGCUCAGAGUGAACGCUGGCGGUAUGCUUAACACAUGCAAGUCGAACGGUAACAGAUCUUCGGAUGCUGACGAGUGGCGAACGGGUGAGUAAUAGAUAGAUAACAUGCCUCGAAGAGGGGAAUAGCCACUGGAAACGGUGAUUAAAACCCUAUAUGCCUCUAAAUCAUAAGAUUGCGAGGGAAAUAUUUAUAGCUUCGAGAUUGGUCUAUCUCCUAUCAGGUUGUUGGUGAGGUAAGAGCUCACCAAGCCUAUGACGGGUAGCUGGUCUGAGAGGACGAUCAGCCACACUGGAACUGAGACACGGUCCAGACUCCUACGGGAGGCAGCAGUGGGGAAUAUUGCACAAUGGGCGAAAGCCUGAUGCAGCAAUACCGCGUGGAGGAUGACGCAUUUCGGUGUGUAAACUCCUUUUUUAUGAGAAGAAAUUUGACGGUAUCAUAAGAAUAAGCUCCGGCUAACUCCGUGCCAGCAGCCGCGGUAAUACGGAGGGAGCAAGCGUUACUCGGAAUCACUGGGCGUAAAGGGUGCGUAGGCGGUUUAGUAAGUCAGAAGUGAAAUCCCAUAGCUCAACUAUGGAACUGCUUUUGAAACUACUAGACUAGAGUGAGGGAGAGGUAGAUGGAAUUAGUGGUGUAGGGGUAAAAUCCGUAGAGAUCACUAGGAAUACCGAAAGCGAAGGCGAUCUACUGGAACUCAACUGACGCUAAGGCACGAAAGUGUGGGGAGCAAACAGGAUUAGAUACCCUGGUAGUCCACACCCUAAACGAUGUUCACUAGUCGUCGGAAUGCUCGACAUUUCGGUGAUGCACUUAACAGAUUAAGUGAACCGCCUGGGGAGUACGGUCGCAAGAUUAAAACUCAAAGGAAUAGACGGGGACCCGCACAAGCGGUGGAGCAUGUGGUUUAAUUCGACGAUACGCGAAGAACCUUACCUAGCCUUGACAUACCAAAAAUCUUUCAGAGAUGAGAGAGUGCCUGUUUACAGGAAUUUGGAUACAGGUGCUGCACGGCUGUCGUCAGCUCGUGUCGUGAGAUGUUGGGUUAAGUCCCGCAACGAGCGCAACCCUCGUCCUUAGUUGCUAACAGUUUGGCUGAGCACUCUAAGGAGACUGCCUUCGCAAGGAGGAGGAAGGUGAGGACGACGUCAAGUCAUCAUGGCCCUUAUGGCUAGGGCUACACACGUGCUACAAUGGAUGAGACAAAUAGCAGCGAUACCGCGAGGUGGAGCAAAUCUGUAAACUCAUUCUCAGUUCGGAUAGCAGUCUGCAACUCGACUGCUUGAAGCUGGAAUCGCUAGUAAUCGUAGAUCAGCAAUGCUACGGUGAAUACGUUCCCGGGUCUUGUACUCACCGCCCGUCACACCAUGGGAGUUGAACUCAUUCGAAGCGGGGAAGCUAAACUGGCUACCCUCCACAGUGGAUUCAGCGACUGGGGUGAAGUCGUAACAAGGAACCAAGGGCGAA